GGGUUGUGAGGUUAAGCGACUAAGCGUACACGGUGGAUGCCCUGGCAGUCAGAGGCGAUGAAGGACGUGCUAAUCUGCGAAAAGCGCCGGCGAGGUGAUAUGAACCUUUGACCCGGCGAUGUCCGAAUGGGGAAACCCAGUGUGUUCCGACACACUAUCGUUAACUGAAUACAUAGGUUAACGAGGCGAACCGGGGGAACUGAAACAUCUAAGUACCCCGAGGAAAAGAAAUCAACCGAGAUUCCCCCAGUAGCGGCGAGCGAACGGGGAGCAGCCCAGAGUCUGAAUCAGCUUGUGUGUUAGUGGAAGCGUCUGGAAAGUCGCACGGUACAGGGUGACAGUCCCGUACACGAAAGCACACAGGCUGUGAACUCGAAGAGUAGGGCGGGACACGUGGUAUCCUGUCUGAAUAUGGGGGGACCAUCCUCCAAGGCUAAAUACUCCUGACUGACCGAUAGUGAACCAGUACCGUGAGGGAAAGGCGAAAAGAACCCCGGCGAGGGGAGUGAAAAAGAACCUGAAACCGUGUACGUACAAGCAGUGGGAGCCUCUUUAUGGGGUGACUGCGUACCUUUUGUAUAAUGGGUCAGCGACUUAUAUUCUGUAGCAAGGUUAACCGUAUAGGGGAGCCGAAGGGAAACCGAGUCUUAACUGGGCGUUAAGUUGCAGGGUAUAGACCCGAAACCCGGUGAUCUAGCCAUGGGCAGGUUGAAGGUUGGGUAACACUAACUGGAGGACCGAACCGACUAAUGUUGAAAAAUUAGCGGAUGACUUGUGGCUGGGGGUGAAAGGCCAAUCAAACCGGGAGAUAGCUGGUUCUCCCCGAAAGCUAUUUAGGUAGCGCCUCGUGAACUCAUCUUCGGGGGUAGAGCACUGUUUCGGCUAGGGGGCCAUCCCGGCUUACCAACCCGAUGCAAACUACGAAUACCGAAGAAUGUUAUCACGGGAGACACACGGCGGGUGCUAACGUCCGUCGUGAAGAGGGAAACAACCCAGACCGCCAGCUAAGGUCCCAAAGUCAUGGUUAAGUGGGAAACGAUGUGGGAAGGCACAGACAGCCAGGAUGUUGGCUUAGAAGCAGCCAUCAUUUAAAGAAAGCGUAAUAGCUCACUGGUCGAGUCGGCCUGCGCGGAAGAUGUAACGGGGCUAAACCAUGCACCGAAGCUGCGGCAGCGACACUAUGUGUUGUUGGGUAGGGGAGCGUUCUGUAAGCCGUUGAAGGUGUCCUGUGAGGGGUGCUGGAGGUAUCAGAAGUGCGAAUGCUGACAUAAGUAACGAUAAAGCGGGUGAAAAGCCCGCUCGCCGGAAGACCAAGGGUUCCUGUCCAACGUUAAUCGGGGCAGGGUGAGUCGACCCCUAAGGCGAGGCCGAAAGGCGUAGUCGAUGGGAAACAGGUUAAUAUUCCUGUACUUGGUGUUACUGCGAAGGGGGGACGGAGAAGGCUAUGUUAGCCGGGCGACGGUUGUCCCGGUUUAAGCAUGUAGGCGGAGGUUCCAGGUAAAUCCGGUUCCUUGUUAACGCUGAGGUGUGAUGACGAGGCACUACGGUGCUGAAGUAACAAAUGCCCUGCUUCCAGGAAAAGCCUCUAAGCAUCAGGUAACAUCAAAUCGUACCCCAAACCGACACAGGUGGUCAGGUAGAGAAUACCAAGGCGCUUGAGAGAACUCGGGUGAAGGAACUAGGCAAAAUGGUGCCGUAACUUCGGGAGAAGGCACGCUGAUAUGUAGGUGAAGCCCCUGCGGGUGGAGCUGAAAUCAGUCGAAGAUACCAGCUGGCUGCAACUGUUUAUUAAAAACACAGCACUGUGCAAACACGAAAGUGGACGUAUACGGUGUGACGCCUGCCCGGUGCCGGAAGGUUAAUUGAUGGGGUUAGCGGUAACGCGAAGCUCUUGAUCGAAGCCCCGGUAAACGGCGGCCGUAACUAUAACGGUCCUAAGGUAGCGAAAUUCCUUGUCGGGUAAGUUCCGACCUGCACGAAUGGCGUAAUGAUGGCCAGGCUGUCUCCACCCGAGACUCAGUGAAAUUGAACUCGCUGUGAAGAUGCAGUGUACCCGCGGCAAGACGGAAAGACCCCGUGAACCUUUACUAUAGCUUGACACUGAACACUGGUCCUUGAUGUGUAGGAUAGGUGGGAGGCUUUGAAGCGUGGACGCCAGUCUGCGUGGAGCCAACCUUGAAAUACCACCCUUUAAUGGCUGGUGUUCUAACGUAGACCCGUAAUCCGGGUUGCGGACAGUGUCUGGUGGGUAGUUUGACUGGGGCGGUCUCCUCCCAAAGAGUAACGGAGGAGCACGAAGGUUAGCUAAUCCUGGUCGGACAUCAGGAGGUUAGUGCAAUGGCAUAAGCUAGCUUGACUGCGAGAGUGACGGCUCGAGCAGGUGCGAAAGCAGGUCAUAGUGAUCCGGUGGUUCUGAAUGGAAGGGCCAUCGCUCAACGGAUAAAAGGUACUCCGGGGAUAACAGGCUGAUACCGCCCAAGAGUUCAUAUCGACGGCGGUGUUUGGCACCUCGAUGUCGGCUCAUCACAUCCUGGGGCUGAAGUAGGUCCCAAGGGUAUGGCUGUUCGCCAUUUAAAGUGGUACGCGAGCUGGGUUUAGAACGUCGUGAGACAGUUCGGUCCCUAUCUGCCGUGGGCGCUGGAGAAUUGAGGGGGGCUGCUCCUAGUACGAGAGGACCGGAGUGGACGCAUCACUGGUGUUCGGGUUGUCAUGCCAAUGGCACUGCCCGGUAGCUAAAUGCGGAAGAGAUAAGUGCUGAAAGCAUCUAAGCACGAAACUUGCCCCGAGAUGAGUUCUCCCUGAGACUUUAAGUCUCCUGAAGGAACGUUGAAGACUACGACGUUGAUAGGUCGGGUGUGUAAGCGCAGCGAUGCGUUGAGCUAACCGAUACUAAUGAACCGUGAGGCUUAACCUUACAACGCCGAAGGUGUUU
rnacentral:rRNA from 2 species